rnacentral:lncRNA from 1 species
AUUAAUCUAACUCACUAAAAUCAAUGUCCAAAUAUGUUGGUGCGAAUCAGUGUCUCCUCCUUCUUCUUCUCCAAAACCAAUCCAUACCAAGGUACUACUAACUUCUUCUUCACAGUGCUGCAUUCUUUUAUGUGCUUCCUUUUCCUUCAAUUUUCUUCAUAUUUUCAGUGUCCCAAUUUCAUGUCUCUACGAGGAACAACGCACCCAAAAACAUUUCACAACUUCAACUAAACAAGCACAUAGACCAGUUUCAAGACAAAAAAGUGAGACUUUCAUUGUUGUUUUGUCUCUUACCUAUGCAAUUUCAAUUUUCAAACAAAAAUUUUUGAAUAAAAUUUCACUUGCAAUAUAAUUUAUGUUAAUAAUUUUACUACACAGAAGUUUGGUUUGAGUUUGACUAAGAUUGAAGGAUCUGCAUACACAAAAACAGUUGAAUUGGGUCAAUUCAGUAAGUGCUUCUUGUAUGCAAUUUAUAGUUUUGGCCUUUUCAGUUGAUUCUAUUUUAUCAAAGCAUCUUUAGUUUAGGGAGCUUAUAGUAUGUUUGUCUUUAGAUUGGUUUGUGUCCUUAAUGUGAUUAUAAAAUGUACUUUCAACAGCAUUAGCUAUUGGUUUAUCGAGCCAAACUAAGGAGCGUGUUUUUCGUGGUAACUACAUAUACCUUCUCAUGUUUAUUGUCAUGAAAAACAUGUUGAGAUUUGUUUUCUUUUGUUCGUAGUUUGAGAAGCUUCAUUCUAAGAUUAUGAAAAACAUGACUGUAUGAAGUAGUUUCGGUCCAUGUAAUGUUUGGCAGUUGCUCAUACAAGUGUAAUCAUAUUUAAUAGUGUUUUCCUUCAAGAAUAGGAGCAACUCAACGUCUUCGUUACAACGGUCUUCUUACUGCUGAUGCAAUCAACAAAGCUGAUGAAGAAAUCAUCAAAUUAAGGAUCUAGUUUUAAAGCUUCUAGUAUUUCUAUAAGAUGUUAGCAUGUCAAAUUCUUUUAUUUUAUGUCCAUUUUGUGUUUUAUUUUCCUCAAUUGAAUAUCUAUGCUUGUACUUUAUGGUAUGUGCAGUGCGG